UUCGGGAUGGUAUAAUUGGUAACACACCGCGCUGUUAACGCGAAGUUCCAGGUUCGAAUCCUGGUCCCGGAGCCA
rnacentral:tRNA from 1 species